rnacentral:lncRNA from 1 species
AUGGGAAGGGCUCCGAGUUCUGCACAGACAGCUUGUUAUGGAUUGUUUUCAGCCUCCCUCUCUCUAGAAAUGCCAGCAUGAUGGGUGGCAAAGAUGCUGCAGAACUGCUGCUUUAAUUUGCCUUUUAGAGGCGUUUUAGGGAAGGCAUCUGCUUCCAAUCGGGCUGCCCCUUUGAAAGGCCGUUCUCAUUUGUCUGCAACUUCUCUGAAAGCUCAGUCAUACUCAGGGCUCUUUGUGCCAAAGUCUUUCUGACGAUGGGAACUCAUGCAGCUGAACUUUGCAUUUCUGUGUCCCCUGAGCCCGCAGCGAAAGGUCGGAGAUUCCAGACAGCGCCUCAGAGCUUGUUUCACUUGGAUUUAUCAGGAGCUGUGCCUGGUGACACCAGAGGUGAUCAGCCUGUGUGUUGGGAAAAUGUGAAAUCCAGCUCUUUGGAGCAUGCAAAGCAACAGGAGCGCCACGAGCUGCAACAUCCGCCAGUAAAUGCCGCUCAACGCAGCCGAGCUUCCUAGAGAUUAAAGGAAUUUGGAAAUGUCAUUGCCCUGACCAAAUGAGAUAAUUUGUAUCUUCUGUCACUGGAAUCCAAUCCUCUGUUUUUUCUUCUCUUUUUUUUUAUUUUCCCCAUUAUUAACUUGCAACUGUGGGAAGGUGGGAGCAAGGCUGGGGGUUGGGAAGGGAAUCUCAUGGCUAAUCCAGCUGUGCUGUGGAAAUGAUGGUGGGGUGAUUUUGCUCUCUAAAUGAACUUGACUCGAUGGUGGGUGUCAGGUUUUGUUAAGUGCCCUGGGCCAAUGGAGACUAAUUAGGAAUGCAUUAAAUAUUAAAGCUCUCUGACAUUGGGGCAUUGAUGGUGACAGAAGAAAAGAAAUCCCAUAACCUAAUCUGUACCCAACAGGAGUAAUUUAUGUUCCCUUCUUUUAGCAAAAAAAAAUCCAAUUAUUUGGCCUGCUGGAAAAAUAUAUUUAAAGGAAAAGUUAAUUUAGGAGGGAGAAAAAUAUAUAUUAAAAAUAAUUCAGGUGCUGUCAACACAGCCUGUGAGUGUCACUUCCCGUGCAGUUUUGGUUUUGUUAGCAGGGAAAAUAUUUCCCUUUGGUGAGGCUGUUAACUGGAUUUGCCAUCCCAGGAGUGGAAUAUUGUGUUUUCCUUCUUCUGUGGUCAGGUCAGCUGGAUCCAAGAAGGGAUGCUCAUCAGGGGAUGCUCGUGGCCAUGCAGGGAGAGUGGGCAGUGCCCUGGGGAUUUGGGGUGCUCCUGUGGAAGGGGAGCACUGCAGGGUGAGCUCAGAACAGAG